GACGAACCGUGCGAACGUUGUUCGGAAUCACUGGGCUUAAAGGGCGCGUAGGCGGGUGUGCAAGUCUGUGGUGAAAGCCUCCAGCUUAACUGGAGAAGUGCCGUGGAUACUGCGCAUCUUGAGGAGGGUAGGGGCAUCUGGAACGGUCGGUGGAGCGGUGAAAUGCGUUGAUAUCGACCGGAACUCCGGUGGCGAAGGCGGGUUGCUGGGCUGACACUGACGCUGAAGCGCGAAAGCUAGGGGAGCGAACGGG
rnacentral:rRNA from 1 species